CUGUGUAAAAUAUGUUUGUGCUAGCAGAAUUUCUCAAAUUGUUCUGAUGAUAGUAAAGACCUGGGGGCAUUUGUUAUAAAUAUAGCUUCAAGACCCCUUUCCAGGAGCUUCAGAUUAAGUGGGGCUGGGAUAAGGCUCAGAAUUUAUUUUCUUAACAACUACUUCAGGUAAUUCUUAUUUUCAGGGAAGUUUGAGAAACACUACAUGCUCUCUUGGAGUCCUUCCAGUUGAAAUUCAGCAGAACCACUCUACAAAUCUCAGGGCAGGCGAGGGAGCGGGCAGGAGCAGCUCUCGCUUAUCAGUCUCCCUGAUGUCAGCCCUGCAGGAGCCGAGGCAUAUGCCCUGCUCCGCAGAGGUCGAAGAAAUUCCCAGGGAAGAGGUUUAACUGGAACAAUUUGCUCCCUGGAGACGGAGUUAGACUUUACUAGUUCACUAAGGUGACUAGUGCACAAGUUACAAGAACCACAAAAGGUGGGCGAGUCCACCAACAGAAUGGCUCCUAGCGCUGCCUUGAAGUGGCCGACCAACAGACCUGUCACUUGCCGGACACAGCGCUGGGCACUUUGGACAAACAAGGAAGAGGCUGAUCAGCAUGAUACAAACGACCUGUUGUUGAACAAAGACUCAGCAUCAGGCGCAAGGUAGGAGCUCAGGAAGCGAGAAGAGUCCUAUUUCUCUUACAUCCAUUCACACUUUCUGGGUUGUCACACGCUCUUGAGGAUAUCAAUUCAUCUGAUUUCCUUGCUAAAGCACCUGAGGGUCAGAGAAGUCAAGAGACUCCUCCAGAGUCACCCAGCAGGAGAGGGGAAGAACCUGAAUUUUACUGUGGGCUCAGUCCUCUGUCUCUGAGAGAAAGCCAUCUCUGAGGCCAACCAGACAACAGAGAGCUUCUUCACGGGAAAAGUACUCCUUGUAUCCUCGUGCGUUUAUGCUAAUGUCUGUCUACAGCUCAGUGUCUGAGAGCGAGCUUACGAUGCAGAGAAGCAGCAACGGUUCUGGAUCCCAUCACCACGUUGUAAUCGUACUACAAUCUUCAAAACAGUCACUCGCAAGAAAUGGCUCACCUGGAGAAGAGCCUCUGAUUGCAUCUUGCUUCUUUGUGUAACUGUUAACCACAGAGCUGGGGAAAGAUAAAGAGUAAGAGUGUAGCAGGCGAGACAGUGGGCUUUUAGAGCCCUCCGCUUGGGUCCUGGAUCCUAGCCAGGACUUGGGAAAGUUAGUGUAACCUCUCUCAGCCUCAGUUAUUUCUCCUAUAAAAUGGGAAAAUAAACAAGGCUUAUGUUCUUCGGUGGUUGUGAGGACAAAAGGGAACAAUGCAGAGACAGCACUUCACUCAGUUCCUGGAAACGCUCAAUGACCCGGAGUCAUAAAUGUCUUAAGGUCGCACAGGAAGUCAGUGGCAGUCAGACAAGGAUCUACACCCCCGGAUCCUGUGACAUGUGCCAUUUUACAUCAUACUGACUACUCACGAAAAAUGCAGUUUUUAAGAAAAACAUAGUAAACACGCUUUUGGAUCUCUCCAAGCUCCCAUUUCCUCACAUGAGACGUCGUGAGGCUUCAGCGGGAGAACACGGGCCAAGUGCGCAGCCUGCUGUCAACGUUGGGUCCCCACUGUGCCCAGGGCCUCACACCAAUGCCUGAAAGUACCCACAGGUGUGGCACUGCCCGUGUUGAAACGUACUUCAUUGCUGCCCGAUGUCAGAGGGUUUAUUUAGAAUGAAUGAGUUCUAAUGCACUGGCCAUGGGACAGGUUUCAAGGUUAACCGUGGGAAGCGUCUGCUGCACCCAGACAACUCUUGGAGCGAGCUUCUCCACAGGCCUGCUCGUCCUCCCACACUGGGGGGCUUCUUGACGAUUUUUGUCAUGCCCAAGCACGGGCUGUGCUAUUAUACACUGACAUUUUUGAAAACAUAAAUUGGCUUACUUUUUAUUUAAAUCUAUUUUAGAAGGAAACUUUAUGGCAACUUGUGCUGGUUCUAGUUUUCGUAAUACAUAUAAAAAUAUACAACUCAUAAAAUAAGGUUAGAAAAUUUGCAUACUAUCUAAAUCUCAAGUGCCAACUUUAAGGCUGUCCUUACUGGGGUCUUAGGGGACAUUAAUGACCAUGUCUAUCUGUGCC
rnacentral:lncRNA from 1 species